GUGCCAGCAGCCGCGGUAAUACGAAGGGGGCUAGCGUUGUUCGGAAUCACUGGGCGUAAAGGGUGCGUAGGCGGGAUCUUAAGUCAGGGGUGAAAUCCCGAGGCUCAACCUCGGAACUGCCUUUGAUACUGGGGUCCUUGAGUCCGGAAGAGGUGAGUGGAACUGCGAGUGUAGAGGUGAAAUUCGUAGAUAUUCGCAAGAACACCGGUGGCGAAGGCGGCUCACUGGUCCGGAACUGACGCUGAGGCACGACAGCGUGGGGAGCAAACAGGAUUAGAUACCCCCGUAGUCC
rnacentral:rRNA from 1 species